GGUUCGAUUCUGGCUCAGGAUGAACGCUGGCGGCGUGCUUAACACAUGCAAGUCGAACGGGAUCCGGCCUUCGGGCCGGUGAGAGUGGCGAACGGGUGAGUAAUGCGUGACCAACCUGCCCCAUUCUCCGGAAUAGCUCCUGGAAACGGGUGGUAAUGCCGGAUGCUCCACAUGACCGCAUGGGAUUGUGGGAAAGGGUUACCGGAAUGGGAUGGUGUCGCGUCCUAUCAGCUUGUUGGUGGGGUAACGGCCCACCAAGGCUUCGACGGGUAGCCGGCCUGAGAGGGUGACCGGCCACACUGGGACUGAGACACGGCCCAGACUCCUACGUGAGGCAGCAGUGGGGAAUCUUAGACAAUCGGCGAAAGCCUGAUCUAGCGAUGCCGCGUGAGUGA
rnacentral:rRNA from 1 species